CGCAAUGGACGAAAGUCUGACGGAGCAACGCCGCGUGAGUGAUGAAGGUUUUCGGAUCGUAAAACUCUGUUGUUAGGGAAGAACAAGUACGAGAGUAACUGCUCGUACCUUGACGGUACCUAACCAGAAAGCCACGGCUAACUACGUGCCAGCAG
rnacentral:rRNA from 1 species